rnacentral:rRNA from 1 species
GACAGAGGAUGCAAGCGUUAUCCGGAAUGAUUGGGCGUAAAGCGUCUGUAGGUGGCUUUUCAAGUCCGCCGUCAAAUCCCAGGGCUCAACCCUGGACAGGCGGUGGAAACUACCAAGCUAGAGUACGGUAGGGGCAGAGGGAAUUUCCGGUGGAGCGAUGAAAUGCGUAGAGAUCGGAAGGAACACCCAAGGCGAAAGCACUCUGCUGGGCCGACACUGACACUGAGAGACGAAAGCUAGGGGAGCAAAUGGG